UCAGGUCCUUUGAGACACACUCACACAGGUGUGCUGAGCUCAGGUCCUUUGAGACACACUCACACAGGUGUGCUGAGCUCAGGUGCUUUGAGACACACUCACACAGGUGUGCUGAGCUCAGGUGCUUUGAGACACACUCACUGCGUGCGGUUGACCUCAGAUUGAGCAAUGGCACUGAUGAAAGGCACGAUCUUGCCGUAGUGCAGGAAGAGUCGUACAAGCGGAAUGGCGGCUUCUUGCUUCUCUCGACACACCUCCCCCAGGAUGUUGGCGGUGGACGCCGACACCGGCUGCACACAGAUGAAAGAGAAAAGGCAUGAAAAGAUGAUACAGACUGAUGGAGGGAGCUGCCAUGCAAGGCGCUAACCAGCACCCAUCAGGAGCAAGGGUGAAGUGUCCUGUUCAGAAGGCUAAACAUGGCACCAAGGCUGCAGGCCGGACACUCCGGUUGUAGAACUUACUCCACCUUGUCACACCUACCAUGCGUCGUGGACUCCGACCUGACCCAGGACUCUGAGGGGGACCCUCACUCCUCCCAGGAACUCAUCACCAAACUUCAGGUUGCUAGCGUUCCACAGGUCCACUCUGCAAACAGACCACAUGCCAUGAUUGAGGGACAAAACCUCCUCUGCUUGUAGUGCCCUUGUGCAAAGCAGCAGUUUUUUCUUACCGCAGUGCCAGUUUGUCCACGUCUUCCUCUUCCACAUCAAACUGCCGCUUUGUGUAGCUUAAUGGCCGCGUCACCUAGAUGGAGAUAAAGCAUUUACUCUGCAUUGGUUCAUGAUGGCACUCACACACACACACACACACACAUAUACAUAUACACAUAUAUACAUAUACAUAUAUAUAU